rnacentral:rRNA from 1 species
UGGGGAAUAUUGCACAAUGGGCGAAAGCCUGAUGCAGCAACGCCGCGUGAGUGAUGAAGGCCUUCGGGUUGUAAAGCUCUGUCUUUUGGGACGAUAAUGGACGGUACCAAAGGAGGAAGCCACGGCUAACUACGUGCCAGCAGCCGCGGUAAUACGUAGGUGGCAAGCGUUGUCCGGAUUUACUGGGCGUAAAGGAUGCGUAGGCGGAUUUUUAAGUGAGAUGUGAAAACCCUAAGCUUAACUUGGGGACUGCAUUUCAUACUGGAAAUCUAGAGUGCGGGAGAGGAGAAUGGAAUUCCUAGUGUAGCGGUGAAAUGCGUAGAGAUUAGGAAGAACACCAGUGGCGAAGGCGAUUCUCUGGACCGUAACUGACGCUGAGGCAUGAAAGCGUGGGUAGCAAACAGGAUUAGAUACCCUGGUAGUCCACGCCGUAAACGAUGAGUACUAGGUGUAGGAGGUAUCGACCCCUUCUGUGCCGCAGUUAACACAAUAAGUACUCCGCCUGGGAAGUACGAUCGCAAGAUUAAAAACUC